rnacentral:rRNA from 1 species
CCUACGGGAGGCAGCAGUGGGGAAUUUUGGACAAUGGGCGCAAGCCUGAUCCAGCCAUGCCGCGUGCGGGAAGAAGGCCUUCGGGUUGUAAACCGCUUUUGUCAGGGAAGAAAAGGUUCUGGUUAAUACCUGGGACUCAUGACGGUACCUGAAGAAUAAGCACCGGCUAACUACGUGCCAGCAGCCGCGGUAAUACGUAGGGUGCAAGCGUUAAUCGGAAUUACUGGGCGUAAAGCGUGCGCAGGCGGUUAUGCAAGACAGAGGUGAAAUCCCCGGGCUCAACCUGGGAACUGCCUUUGUGACUGCAUAGCUAGAGUGCGGCAGAGGGGGAUGGAAUUCCGCGUGUAGCAGUGAAAUGCGUAGAUAUGCGGAGGAACACCGAUGGCGAAGGCAAUCCCCUGGGCCUGCACUGACGCUCAUGCACGAAAGCGUGGGGAGCAAACAGGAUUAGAUACCCUGGUAGUCCACGCCCUAAACGAUGUCAACUGGUUGUUGGGAGGGUUUCUUCUCAGUAACGUAGCUAACGCGUGAAGUUGACCGCCUGGGGAGUACGGCCGCAAGGUUGAAACGUCAAAUGAAUUGACGGCUGAGACAGCGAGACGACGACGAGGGAGGAGG